ensembl:lncRNA
CUCCCGCCCUCCGCGCUCGCUUUCUUCACGCUCAUUUCCGUGACGUCGCAGCGGAGCGCUGGUGGGGGGAGAUCGGCUCCUCCGGAAUGAUCCCGCGUCCCGCCGGUGCUGGCGGAGCGGACGAUGGAGCAGACCUGAGCUCCGGCUCCGUCCCGCCGCUGGCCGCGUCCCGAGCGAACCCGCGGACAUUCUAUUCCGGUCACGUCUCCGUCUUCUCUCUUUUGCCUUAGUCACAGUAGGAGAGAGAGAGAGAGAGAGAGAGAGAGAGAGAGACGGCGGAGGACCGGGAAAGAUCCUUCUGCUCUUUUAUCUCCGGUUUAUUCCCGAUGCUUUGAACUAACGCUGUGUGGAAUAAAAAAAAAAAAAGAAAAAAGACAGCAAUCCGGGACCGCCCUCGCCAUCUGUUCGGAUUCGGGAGAUGUGAAGUUGGACCCCCGUUAAAACCGAUGCUGUGAAGUGGCUCUCAGCCGUAACUU